rnacentral:lncRNA from 1 species
ACCUCGGCCUCCCAAAGUGCUGGGAUUAUAGGCGUGAGCCACCGUGCCCGGCCUUCCCAGAACUUUAAAUACCAUCUGUAGGUUGACAAUUCCCAAUUCCCUGGGUUCCAGCCUUGAACACUGAGCUGCCCCUUUCUUCUUCACUUGGAUAUCUCUCCCUGCUUCUCCAUCUCAACAAAUAGUAUCAGCCCGCCCGCCUUCAAACUAGAAAACUUGAGUGUUAUCCUCAAUGCCUCCCUCUUCCUCAGCCCUCACAUCCCCUUGUCAGCAAGUCCUAUCAUUUCCACAUUGGAAAGACAUCACAAAGGUGGCCACCUCUCUCCAUCUCUACCGCCACCACUGCAGGUAGUGUGACGAGUCACCACCAUCUCACCUGGAUGGCUGUGAGUCCGCAUGGUCCAUGAUCUUUCCUCUUCCACAACCACCAUCUUCCUGUGGCUUACAAGGUUCUACGCCAGAUCCCAGCUUCACCUGAUGUCCCCUCUCCUCAUCACUCUUGUCCCUCUAGCCUCACUGGCUUCCUUUUGGUCCCCACACGCCAUGUCUUUCCUUCCUCAGGUC